GACCGCUCCGGUGGCCUAGUGGUUAGAGCGUCCGCUUUGGAUUCGGGAGGUCGUGGGUUCGAUCCCUAGUUGAGUCA